rnacentral:rRNA from 1 species
CAGCCGCCGCGGGAAUACGAAGGGGGCUAGCGUUGCUCGGAAUGACUGGGCGUAAAGGGCGCGUAGGCGGCGGCCAAAGUCAGGCGUGAAAUUCCCGGGCUCAACCUGGGGGCUGCGUUUGAUACUUGGUUGCUUGAGUGGGGAAGAGGGUCGUGGAAUUCCCAGUGUAGAGGUGAAAUUCGUAGAUAUUGGGAAGAACACCGGUGGCGAAGGCGGCGACCUGGUCCUUUACUGACGCUGAGGCGCGAAAGCGUGGGGAGCAAACAGGAUUAGAUACCCGGGUAGUCCCUGUCUCUUAUAC